AGAAUAGAAUCUACGCACAGUUUUAUAAAUGAGGCCCCAGGUCUAUUACUUUUUCUUCUACGCCAAAUUGUUUUGUCUGUUGUCACGUUGACUCAGUGAAACGUCUGCUGCAACAGUGUCUCCCUGUUACAAACCCGAUCCUUCCUGUAACGGAACCGGGUUGAGUGUUGCUGCUGGACAGUAGCUGCCUCGCAGCUGCUCACCUCCCAGGUCUCACAGCGCCCCCAGCAGGCGUCAGUGGUGAUGUGCAGGCCCCCGCAGCCGGGCUUCCUGGCCAGGAAGGUGAACUCCCGCACGGCACAACCAAUGA